rnacentral:lncRNA from 10 species
AUGAGAUUAUAAUACUGUAUUUUUACUGUACCUUUUCUGGGUUUAGAUAUGUUUAGAUACACCAAUACUUACCAUUGUGUUACCCUGGCCUACAGUAUUCAGUACCGGAGCAUGCUGUACAGGUUUGUAGCCUAGGAGCAAUAGGGUGUACGAUACAGCCUAGGUCUGUAGUAGGCUAAACCAUCUAGGUUUGUGUUAUGUUCACACAAGGACUAAAAUCACCUAAUGACGAAUUUCUUAGAAUGUGUCCCCGUCAUAGCAACGUGUGACUGCACCUAACAAGAUUCAUAUUUGCAGGCAUUCAAAAGUGCGGCAGAAGAGUGAGGUGGACAUUGUUGUUAGCGAAGACUUGAAUGGAACGGUGAAGUUUUCAAGCUCUUUACCCUACCCCAAUAAUCUUAACAGUGUCCUGGCUGAGCGACUGGAGAAGUGGCUGCAACUGAUGCUGAUGU